UACGUAGGGGGCUAGCGUUGUCCGGAAUCAUUGGGCGUAAAGCGCGUGUAGGCGGUCCGGUAAGUCCGCUGUGAAAGUCGAGGGCUCAACCCUCGAAUGCCGGUGGAUACUGUCGGGCUUGAGUACGGGAGAGGCGAGUGGAAUUCCUGGUGUAGCGGUGAAAUGCGCAGAUAUCAGGAGGAACACCGAUGGCGAAGGCAGCUCGCUGGAACGUUACUGACGCUGAGACGCGAAAGCGUGGGGAGCAAACAGG
rnacentral:rRNA from 1 species